UACGUAGGGGGCAAGCGUUGUCCGGAUUUAUUGGGCGUAAAGAGCGUGUAGGCGGCCAGACAGGUCCGUUGUGAAAACUGGAGGCUUAACCUCCAGACGUCGAUGGAAACCGUCUGGCUAGAGUCCGGAAGAGGAGAGUGGAAUUCCUGGCGUAGCGGUGAAAUGCGCAGAUAUCAGGAAGAACACCCGUGGCUAAGGCGGCUCUCUAGUACGGUACUGACGCUGAGACGCGAAAGCGUGGGGAGCGAACAGG
rnacentral:rRNA from 1 species